rnacentral:rRNA from 1 species
UACGUAGGGGGCUAGCGUUGUCCGGAUUUAUUGGGCGUAAAGGGCGCGUAGGCGGCCUUGCAAGUGGCGGGUGAAAUCCCUCGGCUUAACCGAGGAACUGCCUGCCAGACUGCAAGGCUCGAGACCGGGAGAGGUGAGUGGAAUUCCCAGUGUAGCGGUGAAAUGCGUAGAUAUUGGGAGGAACACCAGUGGCGAAGGCGGCUCACUGGACCGGAACUGACGCUGAGGCGCGAAAGCGUGGGGAGCAAACAGG